rnacentral:ncRNA from 1 species
UUAAUAAAUAUAUUCUAUUUUAAUUUUUAAUUAUAUAAAGUUUUAUUUUAGCUAAUAAAUUUAUUAUUUUUAUAUUUUAUAUGUAAGUUUUUGCAGGAAUAAUAUUUUUUCUUAAUGAAUAAAUAUAAGUUUUUAUUCGCAGUAUUUUAUAUUAAUAAUUAAAGUAAUUUAGAAUUAGUAAUAAAUAAUAGUAUAGGUUAAUUUUGUGCCAGCAUCCGCGGUUAUACAAAUUAUACAAAUAAAUUUAUUUAUUUUAUAGUUAAUUGAUUAAGUAUAUAAAUGAGAUUUAAUAUUUUAAGGUGAAAUUUAAAUUUAAUUAAAAUUUAUAUAAUUAAUAUUAUGAAGCUAUUAAAAUUUAAUAAUAAACUAGGAUUAGAUACCCUAUUAUUUAAAAAGUAAAUAUUAUAUAAAAUAUGGUAGUAAUAGUUAUAGGCUUGAAACUAAAAAAAUUUGGCGGUAUUUUAAUCUAAUUAGAGGAAUUUGUCCCGUAAUCGAUAGUCCACGAGAGAUUUUACAUAUUUUUAUUUAAUUUGUAUAUCGUCGUUAUAAGGAAAUUUUAUAAGAAGAAAAAAUUUUCUAAAAUUUUAAUUGAAAUUUAUUUCAGAUCAAGGUGCAAUAUAUAGAUAUGAGGAGAUGAAUUACAAUAAAUUUAUUUAGAAUGGAUAAUAAGUUGAAAAUUUUAUUUAAAGGUGGAUUUAAUAGUAAAUUAAAUUAAUUAAUUUAAUUGAUUAUAGUUCUAAAAUAUGUACAUAUCGCCCGUCGCUCUCUUUUUUAAAAAGAGAUAAGUCGUAACAAAGUAGGUGUACUGGAAAGUGUACCUAGAAAGAU